rnacentral:rRNA from 1 species
UACGGAGGGUGCAAGCGUUAUCCGGAUUCACUGGGUUUAAAGGGUGCGUAGGUGGGCAGGUAAGUCAGUGGUGAAAUCUCUGGCUUAACCGGAACUGCCAUUGACUACUAUCUGUCUUGAAUACCGUGGAGGUUAGCGGAAUAUGUCAUGUAGCGGUGAAAUGCUUAGAUAUGACAUAGAACACCAAUUGCGAAGGCAGCUGGCUACACGAAUAUUGACACUGAUGCACGAAAGCGUGGGGAUCAAACAG